CAUUUUAUUCCAUGAUUAUUUAGUGAUUACUUAUACCCUUAUUACCGAUUGUAUUCAUACAUAUUCAACUUAAUUAUUAUUUUAAUCAAACCGCAAGAUUGCUUUAUUUCUCCUAGGCCUUUAUGUACCUUUUCUGCGUGUACCUGGAAAGAUCUCACAACCCCAUGCCAGUUUUCUUGA